GGAUGACGGUCCUAUGGAUUGUAAACUGCUUUUGUACAGGAAGAAACACUCCUUCGUGAAGGAACUUGACGGUACUGUAAGAAUAAGGAUCGGCUAACUCCGUGCCAGCAGCCGCGGUAAUACGGAGGAUCCAAGCGUUAUCCGGAAUCAUUGGGUUUAAAGGGUCCGUAGGCGGUUUAGUAAGUCAGUGGUGAAAGCCCAUCGCUCAACGGUGGAACGGCCAUUGAUACUGCUAGACUUGAAUUACUAGGAAGUAACUAGAAUAUGUAGUGUAGCGGUGAAAUGCUUAGAGAUUACAUGGAAUACCAAUUGCGAAGGCAGGUUACUACUAGUUUAUUGACGCUGAUGGACGAAAGCGUGGGUAGCGAACAGGAUUAGAUACCCUGGUAGUCCACGCCGUAAACGAUGGAUACUAGCUGUUGGGGGCAACUUCAGUGGCUAAGCGAAAGUGAUAAGUAUCCCACCUGGGGAGUACGGGCGCAAGCCUGAAACUCAAAGGAAUUGACGGGGGCCCGCACAAGCGGUGGAGCAUGUGGUUUAAUUCGAUGAUACGCGAGGAACCUUACCAAGGCUUAAAUGUAGAUU
rnacentral:rRNA from 1 species